rnacentral:rRNA from 1 species
UACAGAGGUGGCAAGCGUUGUUCGGAAUUACUGGGCGUAAAGGGCGCGUAGGCGGCCUACUAAGUCAGACGUGAAAUCCCCAGGCUCAACCUGGGAACUGCGUCUGAUACUGGAUGGCUUGAAUCCGGGAGAGGGAUGCAGAAUUCCAGGUGUAGCGGUGAAAUGCGUAGAUAUCUGGAGGAAUACCGGUGGCGAAGGCGGCAUCCUGGACCGGCAUUGACGCUGAGGAGCGAAAGCCAGGGGAGCAAACGGG